CGUUGAAACACCAGUUUCCAUACGAUCACCGACGUUAAGCAACGUCGACCACGAUCAGUACUUAGAUGGGUAACCGCUUGGUAAUACCAAGUGCAGUAAG